CAAAUAUUGUUGUCUUUGAUAAAUUAGACAGAUAAAAUAUCAGUAUAUAUGCCAAACAGAUUAAAUUCACAGUUCCAUCAAAAUAAUAACCACUGCAGGAAAUAAUGAGUAGAAAUAUCCAACCAUGAGACACCAAGAAUUUAAAUGGAAAACUCUCUAAAACUAAGAGGUAAAAACCACGAGACAAACUCCGAAUAAUUCACUAUAAUAAUUGAGAGAAUACAAAGAUAUCUUAAUUUGAGUACAAACUCAAAUUACUUCACCACAAUAACUAUGUGAUGGAACCCAAAUAAAACAUCCUUUUAUUUGAACUAUUUUUCUCUCUCUUUUUCUUGCUCUCUUCCAUCCUCUCCCAGAUGGGAUUACUUUCAUCCAUCCUCCCCGGAUGUGAUUUCUCUCACCCACCCUCUAUUUUUUCUCUCUACUCACGGAUGAGAACUUG
rnacentral:lncRNA from 1 species